rnacentral:piRNA from 1 species
UCCAGACUGUCAGCAAUGCUUCUUAAAGGC